AGUGUCAUCUGCAAAGUGGAAUCAUCCAGAAAGCUUGAGUCAUAUCAACAUGACUACAGGUGGUGAUUUGCUAUAACUUAGAGAACUCAUCACGAAGGGGACAAUACUUACUUUUUCACAAAGAGUCAGGACCAGUCAGAAGAAGGCACAGAUGGGACAGAGAAGGGCUAUCAUUGUGCUUCCCCAAGAAACUAGAGCAUACUUAAUGCUGAUGUAGCAGGGAAGCUCACUGAAAAGUGACUGGCAGCACUGAAGGCUUUCCAGCACCAUAAUGGCUGCAAUUGUCUCUUUCCUGGCGACUGCCAGGUCUCAUUGGUCUUGGCUCCAUGCCUG